CGUACUCCUUAAUCAGACAACAAAAAAACGGUUUGUCUUCUACAGCUAAUGGAAGAGCCACAACCAGUCGUCAACGAUAAACUUCGCACCGUCACCACCUGUCUCCUAUGCGAAGUCGUUCAUGUCUUCUCAUAAAUGUUACACCAAGAGCAACCAGAUAUCAUCAGGAUUCGUGAUCACUAACGCUUCGUCUCAGGUCUCGGUUCGAGGGGAAGUGCGUUAAUAAGGAGGCCUCAAUUUGUUCUGCAACCAAAUAUGGGGGUAUCCAGAAAUUUGAAAGUCUAAAGAGCUUAAAGCAUACGUACUAAUUUCAUAGCCACAGAGCGUACUGGAACUCAUCCCCUGCUUUCUGACGCGGUGAAAAUUAACCCUACUGAUGGGUUUAUAAUUGGAUCCCCUGAGAAAACAGCUGAGGGAGAUGCUGCUGAAAUGCUUGACGGAAGUGCUGUCGAGCCUGCUCUUCCACCUAUUGAACCUGUCUCAGGUGGAUCACAACAGCUGAGAAUGGACCAUUAAUGGAGGAGAAUCAGAAAGGGAAAAAUCCAUGCAUUACUCAACGUCAAUGCCUAAGAACCCUAGCUCAAGCCGAAGACCCAUGGACCUUAGCUAAAUAUGUAUUGACACUGCUCUCCUAUUUGGCUCCCUUUGCAAUAUACCAUCAGUAUUUACAGGUAGUAUCAUACGAAGAAAGUUUUUCGUUGUGUGGUCUACAUGUUGUUUAGCAUAUUCUUUGUUUUUUAUGGUUUUCUGUUUAAGGCUUUUUACAGCAAAUGUUACAUUUCUCAGAUUAAUAAAUAAU